GAUCAAAUCAAGCGCGAUAAGGGCGUUUGGUGGAUGCCUUGGCAGCAAGAGGCGAUGAAGGACGUGAUACUCUGCGUUAAGCCAUGGGGAGCUGAGAAUAAGCUUUGAUCCAUGGAUCUCCGAAUGGGGCAACCCACCUGACAGUUUGUUAUUGUUAUCCUCGGGUAAUCAAUAACGGGCUGAACCAGGUACUAAUCACCUGAAUACAUAGGGUUUUUAGAGCGAACCCGGGGAACUGAAACAUCUAAGUACCCGGAGGAAAGGAAAUCAACAGAUACUCCCCCAGUAGCGGCGAGCGAACGGGGACCAGCCGAGCCAUGAGAAUGACCAGAAUGUGUUGGAAAACACAGCCAUAGCGGGUGACAGCCCCGUAUGGGAAGUUCGAUUGGACGUAUUAAGUAGGGCGGGACACGUGAAAUCCUGUCUGAAGAUCGGGGGACCACCCUCGAAGGCUAAGUACUCCUUGCUGACCGAUAGCGAACCAGUACCGUG
rnacentral:rRNA from 1 species